AAAGAAAAGGAACAUGGAUUAUCCCAUGUAGAGGUAUUUGUUUUUUUAAUGCUCCCAGCCUGGAUAUGGUGCACAUCACUUCCAUUCGUAUUCCAUGGCAACACCUAACUGCAAAGGAGGCUGGAAAAUAACAAUGAGCUGUGUGCUAUAGGAGGAAGACGAUAUGGGCUUCCAGCUUUACGCCCCUCCUUGACAUAGUACUGUCAUCACAUCACCUGGAACUCAUGGUUGCACCCACUCUUUCACACACUUGGCCUUCCCCCCUGAAUCGCCUUUGAGGACAGGAAACAUGCCUACCUUCAUAAGCCCAGGGCUUGGCUCGGUACAGUCCCUCCUCCUUUAACAAACAUUGGCUUCUAAAGGACUUUGGUGGUUCACUGUGUAUGGAUUGGCACCAAGAGACCGAUCACCACUUUGGAGAGAAUGACUCAAAAUCCACAGGCUGCUAUCUCUGAACCCUCCAAGUUGACGCCUGGAGCAUUUCCCAUACCUUCCAUGCCACUCUGAGGCUGCAGACCCUUCUGAGAUGAGAAAAUUAAAACUGAAGGAGAAGAAAGAUCUCAAGGUCGCCCACCUGGUAUUCGGCAGAGACAUCUCCAGAAUCAACUCAUCUAAACUCCACGUGGGAUCCUUUCUUAUUAUACCAAGUGGUCUGGAGUAGAGGUGAGGGGGGCUGUCCCCAGGAUUACAGACAGCAAGCCCGUGACUGAACAGGCUGUAGGAACCAGAGCCAUGGUUUCAAGAGUUCAGGAGCAUACGUGAAUAAUGUGUUUCCUAAGGAGAAGAGAAGAAAAAACAAGACAAAACAACACUGAAACUAAUUAUGUAGGUGUGCAGCAAAUUCAUUUUGGCCCAGCACAUGCUCUACUGUGAGAUCUGGCCAUCUAACCUGGUCUGAACUGAAUGCCACAUGCCUUUCGGUCCCAGUACCCAUCCACUGCUUGUACUUACUCUUACUUUGCUGCUUCCAUUUAAGGGCCCUCAGAAACAGGGAUGUGAAAUGCUUCAUGUAAGGGAAGGCACUGGGAAUAAACAGAAAAGAGAAUCUGGGGGUGAGGGAGAGAGUUGAGCUUGGUUUUCUGCUGGAGGCUACAUUUUUAUUUUUUUCCGACUGGCACGCGUCUUCUUUGUUUUGAAUAAUGGAGAUAAUUAUACAUUCAAGGGAUCACACUCUAAACCCCCCAAAUGAUUAAGAAAUCUUAUUGCAGGCAAUCAUGAGAAAAUGUAAGGGAGGAUUACCCAGAGAGACAAUGCAAAUCAUACAUCUUCAAGUGCCUCGCUUAGCACAGAGACCUAAUCACCAUUCUCCUCUCUUUCCCAUGGCUGAAUUGUUUAUAUUCCAGGCCUCUCUCAGGGCACAGCAAUGUUCUUUCCUAAACCCUGCUCAUGUGUAGUCAAAGGUUCGGAUGGGUCCCUCUUGGGAAACUGCUACCUCGGUGAUUUUGAUUCCGACCUGUAAGCUCCCAUUUACCAGCAACUGGGAAUAGAACAAAAGCUUGCAUUAUGUUCAGGCUGCAAGAUUCUUUAUCUAGGGAGAAAGGAAUCCUGUGUAUCAUUUGCUCAAUUCAACAAAUAUUUAUUGGGCAGCAACCACAAAGCAGACAGUACUCUAAAAGCUGGGCUAAAACAGUGGAAAAAAUAUAAUCCCUGACCUUAUGGGUCUAUAUCUAGUCAAGCCAGAUAGAUAGACAAGGAAAUAGGAAAAUCAAAUGUGUGUCAUGAAGGAUAUGAAAAAAGUAAGUCCAGAUUGUUCAGGGGUUGCCUGGGUGGAGCAAAUCAAUUCGAAGAGUACAUGGAAUUAACAAGGAAAAGAGCUUAGAGGGAGCAUCUGUCAGGUGGAGGGGACAAAUGUGAAGCCCUGCAGAUGAGAGAGGUCAUGGAUUGUUGACAAAACUAGGGUGGGACUGAUCAAACCUUGGGAAGGGGAACAGCAGACACGUGGAUAAGGAGGGAAGAUGACCAAGGAUGGGGCUGGGAAUAUCAGCUGAUGCCAACCAGGAAGGGUCUUGUGAGCCUUAUCCCGAGGAUAUGGAAGGCAGGCAUUUCGGAAGGCAAUGCAGAGUCUCAAAAGUGUUUUGAUGACAGUGGGGGAUCGGAUCAGGUUUAUCUUCUUACCAUACCUCGCUGUCCAGGGAUCACAUAUCUGACUCACUACGCCCUCAGGUGUAUGGUGUAACAAGAAGAAGAAGAAGAAGAAGAAGAGCUAAUACAUAUUGUGUUAGUAUGUGCCUGGGAUUGUGUUAAGCACUUUACCUGAAUUAUACGAUUUACUCCUUACAACAGUCCUAUGAAAUAGAUAUUACUAUUAUCUGUAACUGACAAAUGAGGAAACUGAGGCACAGAGGUUGAGUAACAUGCCCAAGAGUGUACAGUUCUUAAGGUGAGGAGCUGGAAUUGAAAGUCAAUGCAGUCUACCUCCAAAGCUCAGACUAAACAUGGGCCUGUGAGUGAAAAAAAUCAAAUACAACUUCCAGCUCUGGUUCUCAGUGUGAUCGUGGGCUUUCACUCUCUGGUCUCCUUGUCUUUAAAUAAGAAGAAUGAGCUACGUAACUUUCAAUCCUCUUUCUCUUGUCUAAUAUCAAGAUAUUGUAUUUGUCUUAGAUGUCAGCAGAAAAGCAAUAGUUCAGGGUAGUCAUUUGACUCUUAACUGUUCUUAAGGCAAGAAAUAGUUACAAGACAUCAACCCCUAUAGAAGAUUUAUGAUCUCUCUCGGGGAUAAUUCCAAAUCUUUCUUCCUCUCCCCUCACUCUCUCAGUCGUCUUUCCCAAGGUUUGUGAUGGAAAUCCAGUGACAGAGCGAUUUCCACGUGUUGACUGUCAGUGGAUCAGAAAAUACAAUAUCACUGGAACUUCCCCCCCACACGUCACUGUCAUCAGGUUUUGUCUUCUUUGUGGUCCAUCGACAGUGACAAUAAUCCAGGCUCUGUUUUCUCUCUGUCAAUUACACUUUAAGCUGGUCAGGGUGAGACUUCUCAUUAAAGAAAAAUCAACGGCUCUGAAAAAGCAGGUGUUAAAAGUUAACAAAAGGAUUGAAUAUUCAUAAUGGUUAAAUUGUGUUUGUUUAACCAAUUUUUGUGUUUGGCAUGGCCAACAGGUACCUUUUCCUGAAUUUGCACCACCGUCCAUAAUAUAGAAUGGAAGUCGUGACUGGCAAAAAAAAAAACGGUUAGAGAAAGGUAGAGGCCCAUCCUAUUUUAGUGUCUUCAGGAUGCCAGGGGACUCUCCAUGCUCAGUUGGGUUUUGAUACUGGAGACAUAACUCAGCGGUCUCAGCUGCAGAAUUCUUAGACUUCGUGGAACCACAGGUCUAAAAUCUUGGCAAGCCUGAGUCAUGGCUUCAGUCUCUGUCUCCUUCGAAAAAAAUCUGAAGAGCAAGUGAUUUAUGGUAUUUCUUCUUCUAGAAGAGCUCUCCAACCCCUGGCCACUGAAUGGACUUUGAAAUAUGCCCACAGGGAUCCUUUAUCCACGGACAAUCUCUGAGUGCUUAUUAUUCACUUUACUAGUGUAGAAGCUCUUUAAUCAUUGUCUCUGCGUUUGCUUUAAUCUAGAAACUGUCAAUUUAUUAGCUCAUAAUGUGCCUGAAGCUUUUCACCAUCUUACUGGAGAAAGACUUGUAUAAAUCCAGGAGAUGAUUCUAAAGAAGUCAGAUUGAUAUGAGAUAAGGAUAUGAAGAGACAAAAUAAUAUAGCAAUUAGAGUACAGAACUAAAGUUUAUUUAUGAAAAAAAGCAUUCUAUAUUUUGUUUCAAGAAGAGUAAAAUCAUUUUUAACUCCACCCAGUGAUAACUGAUGAGUGAGUAAAAGAAUUAUUUAUUAUAAACAUGAAAUUAUCCAUCACAAAGGAUUUUCAGCACCAAAGUCUUAGGAAGUUACCCAGAGUGCACACUGGAGGGAUACUCCUGAAAAUGAAAGUGGUUAAGAAA